AGGAUGAGUAGGGAUUGGUCACUUAAG
rnacentral:piRNA from 1 species